rnacentral:rRNA from 1 species
UACGUAGGGUGCAAGCGUUAAUCGGAAUUACUGGGCGUAAAGCGUGCGCAGGCGGUUAUGCAAGACAGAUGUGAAAUCCCCGGGCUCAACCUGGGAACUGCAUUUGUGACUGCAUAGCUAGAGUACGGUAGAGGGGGAUGGAAUUCCGCGUGUAGCAGUGAAAUGCGUAGAUAUGCGGGGAACACCGAUGGCGAAGGCAAUCCCCUGGACCUGUACUGACGCUCAUGCACGAAAGCGUGGGGAGCAAACAGG